rnacentral:rRNA from 1 species
AAGCAUAUCAAUAAGCGGAGGAAAAGAAACCAACAGGGAUUGCCUUAGUAACGGCGAGUGAAGCGGCAACAGCUCAAAUUUGAAAUCUGGCCCUCGGGUCCGAAUUGUAAUUUGUAGAGGAUGAUUUUGGUGCGGUAUCUUCCGAGUUCCUUGGAACAGGACGCCUUAGAGGGUGAGAGCCCCGUACGGUUGAAUGCCUAGCCUCUGUAAAUCUCCUUCGACGAGUCGAGUAGUUUGGGAAUGCUGCUCUAAAUGGGAGGUAAAUUUCUUCUAAAGCUAAAUAUUGGCCAGAGACCGAUAGCGCACAAGUAGAGUGAUCGAAAGAUGAAAAGCACUUUGAAAAGAGGGUUAAAUAGCACGUGAAAUUGUUGAAAGGGAAGGAUUUGUGACCAGACUUUUUCUGGGCGGAUCAUCCGGGGUUCUCUCCGGUGCACUUUGCCCAGUAAAGGCCAGCAUCGAUUUUCGGCGGCGGAUAAAAGCAGUGGGAAUGUGGCUCCUUACGGGGAGUGUUAUAGCCCAUUGUAUAAUACGCUGCUGGGGAUCGAGGUACGCGCUUCUGCAAGGAUGCUGGCGUAAUGGUUAUCAAUCACCCGUCUUGAAACACGGACCAAGGAGUCGAACAUUUAUGCGAGUGUUUGGGUGUUAAACCCUCACGCGUAAUGAAAGUGAACGGAGGUGAGAGCCUGUAUGGGUGCAUCAUCGACCGAUCCUGAAGUUUUCGGAUGGAUUUGAGUAAGAGCAUAACUGUUCGGACCCGAAAGAUGGUGAACUAUGCGUGGAUAGGGUGAAGCCAGAGGAAACUCUGGUGGAGGCUCGCAGCGGUUCUGACGUGCAAAUCGAUCGUCAAAUCUGCGCAUGGGGGCGAAAGACUAAUCGAACCAUCUAGUAGCUGGUUACCGCCGA